GAUGAACGCUAGCGGCAGGCUUAAUACAUGCAAGUCGUGGGGCAGCAGGGGUAGCAAUACCCGCUGGUGACCGGCAAACGGGUGCGGAACACGUACACAAUCUACCUUUAUCUGGGGCAUAGCCCGAAGAAAUUCGGAUUAACACCCCAUAAAAUAAGCAGUCUGGCAUCAGAGAACUAUUAAAUACUGCGGAGGAUAGAGAUGAGUGUGCGUCCC
rnacentral:rRNA from 1 species